CCUGAGCAAAAGCUGAAGUACCCAACUGACGUGAAAGUAUGGAGGCUACACGCUGAGAUAUCAUCUCUAUUUGAUCAUCAGCCAAUCUGAUCUCUGAAGGAUGUGCUCUGCUGUCCGACUGCUGAACUGAAGUGUGCCUCCUCGCAGACUCUGACGGCCCAGCCUCAUGGUCAGAAACAAACUGAAUAUCUGGAGAUACAGUCCUAUGAUCACA
rnacentral:lncRNA from 1 species